GCCUAGCUCAGGCUGCCGAUCCGCUCGCUCUCUGUGCGUUGGGACCGCGGAGGGCAUUCGCUGUGUGACUCAGGGCAAAUGUGCGCACCUCUCUGAGCCUCCGCGGCAUUCUCUAGCAAAAUGGUGGAGCCGGUACCCGGCUGUAAGGCAAGCUGGGAUGCGCGGAGUAGCGGGUGGAAAGCUGGACUGGAGUUCUCACUCGGCCGCUGGGUGACUUCGGUGCACUAGGGAUAGCAACAGUACCACCUCGUAGGGUUAUAGAAAGACCAAGUGAGUUAAUAUUUGUGAAGUGUUCAGAACAGCGUCUACUGCAUGGAAAGUAGUAUUUAUUUGUUAGAGAGACUCCAGGAGGUCUUGCCCAGUGAUUGACUUCUCCCUUCCCUGUCUCCACCCCCCACAUUCCCGUUUGUGAGCCAAGCCUUGCUUUUGCACCGGCCGGGCUCUCUUGCCUAGAAAUGCAUACCCAUCUCAAACCUGGGCUUUAAAAUCACCUCCUCUGGGACCCCUUCCUCUACUUCUCACAGUUCAGGCCUGUUCUGCCCCACACAGCAGAAAAUGACCACGAUGCAAUACCAGAGUCUGCAUAGGACCAUUUCAACAACCCUUAGAAGCUGACUCAGCUGUUUCCUGGCCCUGACUUUUCUAAGAUAAGAGGAGCUGAUAGGAACAAUUUGGGAACCCUCAAAGGCUGAGAGUAUCCCACCCACUUCACAGAUGAAGCAAACUGAGGCCCAGAGAAGGGAAAUUACUUGCCCAAGAUCACCCAGCAAGUAAGAAACAGAGCUGGAGAUGAGCUCAGGUCAGCACGGAACCACGCAAACUCCUGUAGGCUUUGUAAAGGACUGAUGAGAAAAGCAGAUGGUUAAGAGCUCUACAACUUCUGUGAGGUAAAGAAUAUCUGCAGGGCUGGAUGUGGCGGCUCUUGCCUGUAAUCUUAGCACUUUGGGAGGCCAAAGUGGGUGGAUUGCUUGAGUCCAGGAGUUCAAGACCAGCCUGGGCAACAUGGUAAAACUCUGUCUCUCUAAAAAAAAAAAAAAAAAAAUUAGCCGAGUGUGGUGUUGUGUGCUUGUAGUCCCAGCUACUUUGGAGGCUGAAGCGGAAGGAUCCCUUGGCUCAGGAGGCAGAGGUUGCAGUGAGCUGAGAUUGUGCCACUGCACUUCAGCUUGGGUGACAGAGCCAGACCUUAUUUAAAAAAAAAAAAAAAAAAAAAAGAAUAUCUGUGAUUACAAGAUUGCAAUGCAAUUUUGAAAGCCUGCUGUUGCCCAGCUGGACAGCUAGAGUUAUUCUCAGUGGUGGGAUGGCUGAACUGGGGGCCCACUGUGGAGAGCUGGUUUCCCGCUGGAGUUCUCUGAAAAGGUGCCUGAUUUCACAGCUCUGAUUCUACAGAGGGAGGCCAGGCCCUUCACGUAAUUGCUACCCUUCUUUAUUUAUGGAGCUAUUCCUCUGUCGGGAUGUCCUUAUAUGUG